AGAACGAACGCUGGCGGCAGGCUUAACACAUGCAAGUCGGGCGCCCUGCAAGGGGAGCGGCGGACGGGUGAGUAACACGUGGGAACGCGCCCUUCGGUUCGGAAUAACUCAGGGAAACUUGAGCUAAUACCGAAUACGCCCUUACGGGGAAAGAUUUAUUGCCGAAGGAACGGCCCGCGUCCGAUUAGCUAGUUGGUGAGGUAAUGGCUCACCAAGGCUACGAUCGGUAGCUGGUCUGAGAGGAUGACCAGCAUCACUGGGACUGAGACACGGCCCAGACUCCUACGGGAGGCAGCAGUGGGGAAUAUUGGACAAUGGCGCAAGCCUGAUCCAGCCAUGCCGCGUGGAUGAUGAAGGCCUUAGGGUUGUAAAGUCCUUUUAACGGGGAAGAUAAUGACGGUACCGUAGAAUAAGCCCGGCUAACUUCGUGCCAGCAGCCGC
rnacentral:rRNA from 1 species